CUUUCCUACGGGAGGCAGCAGUGGGGAAUAUUGGGCAAUGGGCGCAAGCCUGACACAGCAACGCCGCGUGAAGGAAGAAGGCUUUCGGGUUGUAAACUUCUUUUCUCAGGGACGAAUAGAUGACGGUACCUGAGGAAUAAGCCACGGCUAACUACGUGCCAGCAGCCGCGGUAAUACGUAGGUGGCAAGCGUUAUCCGGAUUUACUGGGUGUAAAGGGCGUGUAGGCGGGGACGCAAGUCAGAUGUGAAAACCA
rnacentral:rRNA from 1 species